UACGUAGGAGGCGAGCGUUGUCCGGAUUUACUGGGCGUAAAGCGCGCGCAGGCGGCAUGGCAAGUAAGGUGUGAAAUCUCCCUGCCUAACGGGGAGGGUGCAUUUUAGACUGCCAAGCUAGAGGACGGUAGAGGGGGGUAGAAUUGCUGGUGUAGCGGUGAAAUUCGUAGAUAUUGGGAAGAACACCGGUGGCGAAGGCGGCGACCUGGUCCUUGACUGACGCUGAGGCGCGAAAGCGUGGGGAGCAAACAGG
rnacentral:rRNA from 1 species